AUGAUGAACGCUAGCUACAGGCUUAACACAUGCAAGUCGAGGGGCAUCAGGAAGAAAGCUUGCUUUCUUUGCUGGCGACCGGCGCACGGGUGAGUAACACGUAUCCAACCUGCCCUUUACUCGGGGAUAGCCUUUCGAAAGAAAGAUUAAUACCCGAUAGCAUAAUGAUUCCGCAUGGUUUCAUUAUUAAAGGAUUCCGGUAAAGGAUGGGGAUGCGUUCCAUUAGGUUGUUGGUGAGGUAACGGCCCACCAAGCCUUCGAUGGAUAGGGGUUCUGAGAGGAAGGUCCCCCACAUUGGAACUGAGACACGGUCCAAACUCCUACGGGAGGCAGCAGUGAGGAAUAUUGGUCAAUGGGCGCUAGCCUGAACCAGCCAAGUAGCGUGAAGGAUGAAGGCUCUAUGGGUCGUAAACUUCUUUUAUAUAAGAAUAAAGUGCAGUAUGUAUACUGUUUUGUAUGUAUUAUAUGAAUAAGGAUCGGCUAACUCCGUGCCAGCAGCCGCGGCAAUACGGAGGAUCCGAGCGUUAUCCGGAUUUAUUGGGUUUAAAGGGAGCGUAGGUGGACUGGUAAGUCAGUUGUGAAGGUUUGCGGCUCAACCGUAAAAUUGCAGUUGAUACUGUCAGUCUUGAGUACAGUAGAGGUGGGCGGAAUUCGUGGUGUAGCGGUGAAAUGCUUAGAUAUCACGAAGAACUCCGAUUGCGAAGGCAGCUCACUGGACUGCAACUGACACUGAUGCUCGAAAGUGUGGGUAUCAAACAGGAUUAGAUACCCUGGUAGUCCACACAGUAAACGAUGAAUACUCGCUGUUUGCGAUAUACAGUAAGCGGCCAAGCGAAAGCAUUAAAUAUUCCACCUGGGGAGUACGCCGGCAACGGUGAAACUCAAAGGAAUUGACGGGGGCCCGCACAAGCGGAGGAACAUGUGGUUUAAUUCGAUGAUACGCGAGGAACCUUACCCGGGCUUAAAUUGCAGUGGAAUGAUGUGGAAACAUGUCAGUGAGCAAUCACCGCUGUGAAGGUGCUGCAUGGUUGUCGUCAGCUCGUGCCGUGAGGUGUCGGCUUAAGUGCCAUAACGAGCGCAACCCUUAUCUUUAGUUACUAACAGGUUAUGCUGAGGACUCUAGAGAGACUGCCGUCGUAAGAUGUGAGGAAGGUGGGGAUGACGUCAAAUCAGCACGGCCCUUACGUCCGGGGCUACACACGUGUUACAAUGGGGGGUACAGAAGGCAGCUAGCGGGUGACCGUAUGCUAAUCCCAAAAUCCUCUCUCAGUUCGGAUCGAAGUCUGCAACCCGACUUCGUGAAGCUGGAUUCGCUAGUAAUCGCGCAUCAGCCACGGCGCGGUGAAUACGUUCCCGGGCCUUGUACACACCGCCCGUCAAGCCAUGGGAGCCGGGGGUACCUGAAGUACGUAACCGCAAGGAUCGUCCUGGGGUAAAAC
rnacentral:rRNA from 1 species